rnacentral:ncRNA from 1 species
AUCACGAAAGGGCAGCUCCCGAGUAAUUGGGAUGAGUGCGCAAAACAAUGGGUCCAGCUAUGCUGGAUAGCCAGGUUACCGAA